rnacentral:other from 1 species
ACGGUUAUAAAUCAACAUAUUGAUUUAUAGGCAUGGAAAUCCCCUGAGUGAAACAACGAAUUGCUGUGUGUAGUCUUUGCCCAUCUCCCACGAUGGGCUUUUUUUUAU